AAAGUUCGGGCAUGUGCUAUACAUGCAGUCGAACGCGUUGGCCCAAUUGAUUGAUGGUGCUUGCACCUGAUUGAUUUUGGUUGCCAACGAGUGGCGGACGGGUGAGUAACACGUAGGUAACCUGCCCAGAAGCGGGGGACAACAUUUGGAAACAGAUGCUAAUACCGCAUAACAGCGUUGUUCGCAUGAACAACGCUUAAAAGAUGGCUUCUCGCUAUCACUUCUGGAUGGACCUGCGGUGCAUUAGCUUGUUGGUGGGGUAACGGCCUACCAAGGCGAUGAUGCAUAGCCGAGUUGAGAGACUGAUCGGCCACAAUGGGACUGAGACACGGCCCAUACUCCUACGGGAGGCAGCAGUAGGGAAUCUUCCACAAUGGGCGCAAGCCUGAUGGAGCAACACCGCGUGAGUGAAGAAGGGUUUCGGCUCGUAAAGCUCUGUUGUUAAAGAAGAACACGUAUGAGAGUAACUGUUCAUACGUUGACGGUAUUUAACCAGAAAGUCACGGCUAACUACGUGCCAGCAGCCGCGGUAAUACGUAGGUGGCAAGCGUUAUCCGGAUUUAUUGGGCGUAAAGAGAGUGCAGGCGGUUUUCUAAGUCUGAUGUGAAAGCCUUCGGCUUAACCGGAGAAGUGCAUCGGAAACUGGAUAACUUGAGUGCAGAAGAGGGUAGUGGAACUCCAUGUGUAGCGGUGGAAUGCGUAGAUAUAUGGAAGAACACCAGUGGCGAAGGCGGCUACCUGGUCUGCAACUGACGCUGAGACUCGAAAGCAUGGGUAGCGAACAGGAUUAGAUACCCUGGUAGUCCAUGCCGUAAACGAUGAGUGCUAGGUGUUGGAGGGUUUCCGCCCUUCAGUGCCGGAGCUAACGCAUUAAGCACUCCGCCUGGGGGAGUACGACCGCAAGGUUGAAA
rnacentral:rRNA from 1 species